rnacentral:rRNA from 1 species
ACGAACGCUGGCGGCGUGCUUCACACAUGCAAGUCGAACGGUGAACUCCGCUUGCGGGGGGAUCAGUGGCGAACGGGUGAGUAACACGUGGGCAACCUGCCCUCAGCUCUGGGAUAACUCCAAGAAAUUGGGGCUAAUACCGGAUAUGACCGCUGACCGCAUGGUCUGGUGGUGGAAAGAUUUAUCGGCUGGGGAUGGGCCCGCGGCCUAUCAGCUUGUUGGUGGGGUAGUGGCCUACCAAGGCGACGACGGGUAGCCGGCCUGAGAGGGUGACCGGCCACACUGGGACUGAGACACGGCCCAGACUCCUACGGGAGGCAGCAGUGGGGAAUAUUGCGCAAUGGGCGAAAGCCUGACGCAGCGACGCCGCGUGGGGGAUGACGGCCUUCGGGUUGUAAACCUCUUUCAGCAGGGACGAAGCGAAAGUGACGGUACCUGCAGAAGAAGCACCGGCCAACUACGUG